UACGGAGGGUGCAAGCGUUAUCCGGAUUCACUGGGCUUAAAGGGUGCGUAGGUGGGCAGGGAAGUCUGUGGUGAAAUCUCCGGGCUUAACCCGGAAACUGCCGUUGAUACUAUUUGUCUUGAAUAUUGUGGAGGUAAGCGGAAUAUGUCAUGUAGCGGUGAAAUGCUUAGAUAUGACAUAGAACACCAAUUGCGAAGGCAGCUUACUACACAACGAUUGACGCUGAGGCACGAAAGCGUGGGGAUCAAACAGG
rnacentral:rRNA from 1 species